rnacentral:rRNA from 1 species
UCCACGCCGUAAACGAUGUCGACUUGGAGGUUGUGCCCUUGAGGCGUGGCUUCCGGAGCUAACGCGUUAAGUCGACCGCCUGGGGAGUACGGCCGCAAGGUUAAAACUCAAAUGAAUUGACGGGGGCCCGCACAAGCGGUGGAGCAUGUGGUUUAAUUCGAUGCAACGCGAAGAACCUUACCUGGUCUUGACAUCCACGGAAGUUUUCAGAGAUGAGAAUGUGCCUUCGGGAACCGUGAGACAGGUGCUGCAUGGCUGUCGUCAGCUCGUGUUGUGAAAUGUUGGGUUAAGUCCCGCAACGAGCGCAACCCUUAUCCUUUGUUGCCAGCGGUCCGGCCGGGAACUCAAAGGAGACUGCCAGUGAUAAACUGGAGGAAGGUGGGGAUGACGUCAAGUCAUCAUGGCCCUUACGACCAGGGCUACACACGUGCUACAAUGGCGCAUACAAAGAGAAGCGACCUCGCGAGAGCAAGCGGACCUCAUAAAGUGCGUCGUAGUCCGGAUUGGAGUCUGCAACUCGACUCCAUGAAGUCGGAAUCGCUAGUAAUCGUGGAUCAGAAUGCCACGGUGAAUACGUUCCCGGGCCUUGUACACACCGCCCGUCACACCAUGGGAGUGGGUUGCAAAAGAAGUAGGUAGCUUAACCUUCGGGAGGGCGCUUACCACU